rnacentral:sRNA from 1 species
GAUGAAGCGAGAUGGGAGGUCACCAUGUAUCAGUUCUACCAGCGAUAUUUCUCUGCUACUAAGAAUGUUUCCUGGCUGGCCCGUCAGGCAACGGCACAGCGACUUGAAGUGCUGAGCUUUCUGAUGCAGUGGGAAGUGACGAAACCGACCUCUGAACAUUAAUUCGCCUAAUCAUGUGUGACUGAGUAUUUGCCAGCAGGUAUUAUCUGCUGGCUUUUUU